AGGGGUAUAGCUCAGUGGUAGAGACAUUUGACUGCAGAUCAAGAGGUCCCAGUUUCAAAUCCUGGUGCCCUUG